AACGAACGCUGGCGGCAUGCCUAACACAUGCAAGUCGAACGAGACCUUCGGGUCUAGUGGCGCACGGGUGCGUAACGCGUGGGAACCUGCCCUUAGGUUCGGAAUAACUCCCCGAAAGGGGUGCUAAUACCGGAUAAUGUCUUCGGACCAAAGAUUUAUCGCCUUUAGAUGGGCCCGCGUUGGAUUAGCUAGUUGGUAGGGUAAAAGCCUACCAAGGCGACGAUCCAUAGCUGGUCUGAGAGGAUGAUCAGCCACACUGGGACUGAGACACGGCCCAGACUCCUACGGGAGGCAGCAGUGGGGAAUAUUGGAAAAUAGGCGAAAGCCUGAUCCAGCAAUGCCGCGUGAGUGAUGAAGGCCUUAGGGUUGUAAAGCUCUUUUACCUGGGAUGAUAAUGACAGUACCGGGAGAAUAAGCUCCGGCUAACUCCGUG
rnacentral:rRNA from 1 species